rnacentral:lncRNA from 1 species
AUGAAUGUUAUUUCGACCCACCUACCUUAGCCGACCCAAGGUUUUGUUACCUGGGUCAUAAAAUUACAUUAACCCACUUAUCUGAUCCUAUCAAAAUUGAAUUUAGAUAUCUCACCAUCCAUCACGAAGUUCUGUUUCUCAAUUAAAUACUCUUAACUUAAUUUCUUGAAGAUGCCAACGAUUUAUGUAAGCUUUCUUAUUUUUAGUUUUAUAGUGUAAAAUAAGAAUUUUUUCCCUCACUUUUCCUUUAGUUAUCUGUAACUUUAGGGGGUUUGUUCACAGGAGAAACGACUAUGGUGGUGAGGUAGGCAAGAUAGUAGAGGAGGUGAUGAGAGCAACGACUAUGGUGGUGGGAGCAGUAGCUACGGUGGCGAAGGCAGCAACUACAGUGGUAAACAUAGUGGUUGCGGUCAGUAUGAUGGUGGAGGUCAACUCCCGAUGGGGAUAGUUGCGCAAGAGAGAAGAUGAAUGGGGGAGAGAGAAUUUGGGUGAAAUCAAAAAGAAGAUCGGAAAAAUGGGGAAGCCAUUGGGAACAACAAGAUGUCUGCCCCUUCUCACUCCACUUCUUUCGCCAUUGUUUCUCGCUCUAACAAAAUUUUGGGUCGGGUCAGCUAAGUGGAUUGAAAUAAAAUUUAUUUUUUAUUUCGGUACGAGAUUGUCACGUGGCCCAGUAAAAAAAUGACACGUCAUUAAAUUGAAGGUCCACCGGUUAUGCUGUUAGUUGUGGAGGUAAUUUUAUUAAUAGAAUUAACGUCGCGUGUUUUUUUGGACGGAUAGAUGAAUGAAAGGUGUUUGUAAACCAUUUAGCAACAACAGGGGUAGUUUAUGCCCUUUUCCGUUUAUGUUUUUUAUGGAAAGAAAAAGGUUGAUGAUGUUAACAAAUUUUUCCUGAAAGGUUGCACAAUACUUAGUAUCAAGCCAAUAAUGCAGGCAGCUCAGCCUAGUCGUUUUCCCAUUUUUUUAAGCAAACGAGAGCUCUUCCUGAUAGCUUAAGGUAUACAAAAUCAAAGUCC